rnacentral:rRNA from 1 species
ACUCCUACGGGGAGGCAGCAGUGGGGAAUAUUGGGCAAUGGGCGCAAGCCUGACCCAGCCAUGCCGCGUGAGUGAUGAAGGCCCUAGGGUUGUAAAGCUCUUUCAAUGGUGAAGAUAAUGACGGUAGCCAUAGAAGAAGCCCGGCUAACUUCGUGCCAGCAGCCGCGGUAAUACGAAGGGGGCAAGCGUUGUUCGGGAUUUACUGGGGCGUAAAGCGCGUGCAGGCGGCUUGUUAAGUUAGAUGUGAAAGCCCGAGGCUCAACCUCGGAACUGCAUUUAAUACUGGCAAGCUUGAGUAUAGGAGAGGAGAACGGAAUUUCCAGUGUAGAGGUGAAAUUCGUAGAUAUUGGAAAGAACACCAGUGGCGAAGGCGGUUCUCUGGCCUAAUACUGACGCUGAGACGCGAAAGCGUGGGGAGCAAACAGGAUUAGAUACCCUGGUAGCACAGAG